rnacentral:snRNA from 1 species
CUAAAUUAUCGGUUUUAACAU